rnacentral:lncRNA from 1 species
GGAGAUCUUUGCAGUGUUGAAUAUUCGCCCUUCAUGAAGGCAGGCUGGUUUUUUUUCCUGACAAAUGAGUUCGUUGGUGAAUUUGUCUCGUUUUACUCAUGAUGUCAGCAGCCGGGUCUACCACACAACAUAGCUUGAUUGUGUAAGCCUCCGUAAAUACCUUAAAUUGUAUUGUACCCACAGAGCACUCCUCUGAGAUUAAGCAAGCUAAUGCCAUCAGCCUUCAUAGCAGGCACGGAUCACCAAUAAGCCUUUCUACAAUGUUAGCAGCCCCUGGAGAUGGAAGGCAGUGUCUUUUGAUAAGUUAUCUAUCUCUAUAGAUGACACAGGAUUAUUACUGAUGUAUAAGACACUUCAUUGUAUAAGCUUCAGUGGUACAGAUGAACCAGAAUGAAUGUCUGUCUUCUCAGAAGCCCUCCUUCAACGUUCUAUGGGAUCAUGCUGCUACUGUCACUUGGGAUACAACUCUUCAUGGUGCUACAAACUUCUGUCUCAUUCACUUGUAUUUUUUUACCCAUAGGAAAAGGACUCUAUAGGUGUAAAGGUGUACAAUAUAUUUUUAUACUGUGACUUAAAUUGUCAUUAACAAACUUUUACACCACCACAGUGUACUCAUGUGCGCUUGCAAAAGGAGAUCUUGGAUGUGCAAAUGUUACCAGAACAAACCCAGCUUUUGUCCACAAGGUGACUGUAACUCAGAAUGGAAAGUGAGCUUGACAUAGGGUGUGGAGUGAAGAACAUGCUAUAAGUUACUAACAGCCCUUUGAAUUUAACAAAAACUGGGAAUCCAUUAGAGAAAUGGAUUGCAUCAUGCCUGAACAUAAGCUGACUGCUGAAAUAUUUUUUUUUAGCUAAUGAAAAAGUGUUUGGACUAGUGUACUCUAAAAAAUGUUUUAAUGGUAAAGUUUUGAGUCAAAUAGAAAUGAAAAAAAAUCUGCAUUCCAGACUUAAUUUUGUAUAUUUUUAUUGCCUUUUAAAUUGCUAUUCUGUGAUAUUGGGAAAUCAAGUGGCUUAUCAUGUAUAUCAUGUACUUAAAAUGUAUUCACAAACUACUGUUGUAUUUGUAUAAAAUAUAGAC